AAAAAGAUAAACUCUGGUUUUUCGUGUUAAACUUUGACUGUCUGUCUUAUAUAAAUUUUUUUUAUAAUUCAUAUUUUUAUUGUUGUUAGAUGAUAAAACAUGAUUAAUACUUUGUGGGUGACUUAUCUUUUUAAUUUUUUUCAUAUUUUUUUCAAAUAAGACGGACGGUCAAAUGUUGGGCACAAAAAUCAGGGUUUAUCUUUUU
rfam:Oryza barthii chromosome 4, whole genome shotgun sequence.